rnacentral:rRNA from 1 species
UACGAAGGGGGCUAGCGUUGUUCGGAAUCACUGGGCGUAAAGCGCACGUAGGCGGAUUUUUAAGUCAGGGGUGAAAUCCCGAGGCUCAACCUCGGAACUGCCUUUGAUACUGGAGAUCUUGAGUCCGGAAGAGGUAAGUGGAACUGCGAGUGUAGAGGUGAAAUUCGUAGAUAUUCGGAAGAACACCAGUGGCGAAGGCGGCUCACUGGCCCGUUAC